rnacentral:rRNA from 1 species
GAUGAACGCUGGCGGCGUGCUUAACACAUGCAAGUCGAACGAAGCACCUUGAUUUGAUUCUUCGGAUGAAGAUCUUGGUGACUGAGUGGCGGACGGGUGAGUAACGCGUGGGUAACCUGCCUCAUACAGGGGGAUAACAGUUAGAAAUGACUGCUAAUACCGCAUAAGACCACAGCACCGCAUGGUGCAGGGGUAAAAACUCCGGUGGUAUGAGAUGGACCCGCGUCUGAUUAGGUAGUUGGUGGGGUAACGGCCUACCAAGCCGACGAUCAGUAGCCGACCUGAGAGGGUGACCGGCCACAUUGGGACUGAGACACGGCCCAAACUCCUACGGGAGGCAGCAGUGGGGAAUAUUGCACAAUGGGGGAAACCCUGAUGCAGCGACGCCGCGUGAGCGAUGAAGUAUUUCGGUAUGUAAAGCUCUAUCAGCA